rnacentral:lncRNA from 1 species
CAGGGAAGUCUGAACUCAUGCACAUCAAAAGUACCUGGUGGAGACCAGGACUGAGUCAUGCAUCAGGGCCCAGACUGAUGUUGAGCAGAUGAACACGCUGGUUCCUGCUCUGAAUGAAUGGGACCCCUUGGUUGUCAUAGCUUUUCUGUCUACAUAUAGAAGUUUUGCGACACCCCUACAGGUAUUGGACCUGCUGUUUGUGAGGUAUGCAUACUUCAGCCCUUAUUCAAAAGAGGAUGAACAAGUAAAGAGCACCCUCUGUAGCUUCUUGGAAACAUGGAUGGACAAGAACCCUGAGGACUUUUGUGACCCAUCAGACCAGUUGCCUCUGAAAUACCUGAAGGGCUACUUGAGUGUGUACAUGCCCCACUGUGAUCUUAGUGUCCAUGCCAAGAGGCUGCUGACACAGUUGGAAGAAUAUGCCAAGUAUUCCCAGGCCAAAGAUGAGGAAGACUCAGAUCUGGGGAGACACACAUCCUCAGAACCACAGGUUGAAUGGGUUUAAACCAACAGGGAAAAGUGACAUUCUGGAGGCUGAACCUACAUGUGCACCAGAGGUGGAGGGCAGAAAACCCUCUAGAAGUUUCUGUGACACAUGAGACUUUGCAGCCAGAUGUGUCAGCAGCUGGGGAGACAGCACACAUGAUAGCAGCUGUGGAACCUGUGCUCAGUAUGUCUGUAGAAAUAAUGUAUCUUUCAGUCAUCUCCUGCUUGCUACAGUGGGCCUACCUAUUUAGAAAAUGGCCCUGUCACCUGUGAUCUUCAAUUGGAGUCUGUCCUACAGCUGAGCUUUGCUCCUGCCCCUCAUGAUCAGCUGCUGAUUUCAAUCCAGCAGCAGUUCCAACCCAACAGCCAGACUACACCUCCACUGAGAAAUAUCCUUUUAAUCCUUCUGAUGUUACAAUGUUAUGUUUAUUUUAAGUAUUAUUUUUAAUAAAUUGUUAGUAUUUGGUUUCCAUUGUCU